rnacentral:rRNA from 1 species
UACGUAGGGUCCGAGCGUUGUCCGGAUUUAUUGGGCGUAAAGAGCGUGUAGGCGGUUAGGUAGGUCCGUUGUGAAAACUCGAGCUCAACCUCGAGACGCCGAUGGAAACCCCCCUAACUAGAGUCCGGAAGAGGAGAGUGGAAUUCCUGGUGUAGCGGUGAAAUGCGCAGAUAUCAGGAAGAACACCCGUGGCUAAGGCGGCUCUCUAGUACGGUACUGACGCUGAGACGCGAAAAGCAUGGGGGAGCAAACAGG